rnacentral:tRNA from 1 species
GCCCCCUUAGCUUAAUCGGAAGAGCGUCAGACUUUUAAUCUGAAGGUCGCCAGUUCGAGCCUGGCAGGGGGCG